UCAUGACCUGAGCUGAAGUUGGACGCUUAACCGACUGAGCCACCCAGGCGCCCUGAGAUUUUUUUUUUAUUAUUAUUUGUAACCCAACUGCAAAAAUAAUGGACACUCAGUGGAUGGUGGCCAUCUCUAAACUACGGCACCUCCGACUGCGGAAGGAGAAAGAAACCGUUUUCACAUGUCCCAUUUCGGUUUUUUGCGGGACUUUUCAUUUGCCGCUGACUCUGGUUACCAACCCUGCAUAACACAACAUCCCCAAAACUAGAGGCAUGAGACGGCCGUUCCUGCCUGCAUUUGAUCGUGGGUUCUGGGGGUCAGCGGCUCUUCAUUCUGGCCUCAAGCAGGAGAAGGAUCAUGGCUACAUCUCCAAUUACCUCCUGGAGCCCGACAAGGAACCCGUAAGGUCUAUUUCUCCAAGUUCACUGCCUACAGGGAUGACUCCAGGAGGCUUAUUCUAAGCUCAGAUUCCUGGGUCCUACUCCCAGAGACUCGAAGUUCACUUGCCUUGCAGUGGGGUCCAGGAAUCUGCCUUUUGAAACAGCUUCCUUCCGUAAUACAGCUACAAGGACCGCGUGGACAGCACCCCGCUCAGCCGCUCAACCAUAAAUUCCAAAGGGACCAGGGACAAAGUCUUCCUGAUAGGAUGUUCUGGCCCCGAGUCCCGGCUUUUGCGACUUUGCAGCCACCUGACUUUGGACAGUUUCCUUUUUGUGGCCUCAACUUUCUUGUCUGUACGCUCAGGAGGUUGAGCUAGAGCAAUGUUUUCAAACUGGGCUCUGUCAUACCUCAGGGGAUUGCACCUUGGCUACCCACCUCCAUUAAUCCAUUUAGCAAAUAUUCAUGGCACGGGGGGAUACCGGGGGUGUUACAGGAUCAGUGAUUAAUUAUCAUGAUGGGCGUUCUUUCCAAAGAAGUGCAACAAAGGGUAAGAGGGCGCUCACAAAGGUGGCUUACGUUGUGCGUGUCCUUCCACUUGAAUUGCCGUUUGGACAAAACUGUUCCCGGGAUUGAAACUGCUGGCUUAGAUCAUCUUAAGGGUCCUUGCGGCAGGAAACCUUUUGUUCCGUGAUGUUUCUUCGAUGAUUUUAUUUCUGAGCAACGUCAAAACAAGCAGAAUGCAAUUACUGGGUGUGAAAUCCGUCAGGGCCCCCCAGGUUAACCCUUUCGUUCUGGAAAAGAAACUUCAGGCUCUUUAGAAGGUUUUCUGACAGUGAAGAACCAGCACCUUAACCUGGGAAACUGAGUGAAAGGCAGACUGGGAAGCUGCAAAGCAGCCGUGCCUGCUUGUGGGGGAAACAGCAGGCGGGGCCGGGGGCGGGGGGCUCUGGACCCACGAGCCUUCCGGUUUUUGUCUGCAGAAUGGGCAGAUGGUACCUGGCCCCCAGAGUUGUUUUAAGGAGACAGAUUAUAUAUACAAAAUUAGCAGCUCAGUGCCAGAUACUUAGUAAGCAUUCAAUAAAUGAUGGCCAUUAUUAAUUUAAGUAUCUUUCUUAUGCAUAUUAUACUUGUCAACAUUCCUGCAAAUGUUUUAUAGAUGAGAAUGGAAAAGUACUCAGGACGGGAGCUGCCAAAUAUCAGGGUUCUGCCAGGCCAACUGCAUCUCUGGGGGAAAAAAGCCCUGUAAUUCCCUCUUCUUGAAACUACAUGCCCAUGGUGGCGGCCUUGAAAUUCUGAGUGUCCCUCUGCCCCAUGCCCUCCCCACAGCGUCCCCCCCCCCACCCCCCCGCCAAAGAGGAGCAAGUUACUUUUCUCAGUAGAAAGCAAGCCACUACCCAAAUUUGGGAUAGGUUUCCACAUUGAGGUAGAAUAAAGAUGAUAGCCGUAAAUGUUGCGGAGAAAUUACAAAGAAGCCCUGAAAUCAUUCCUUUGUAUUUUUUGUAGUUGAACGCCCUAACUUUCCUUGAGACCAAACAUGCGUGCAUCUUUGAUUCUCUCUCUGGCUGGAUCCUUAAAACAGUACAGAGACUGAACACAGUUGGGAACACCUCUAUCACUUAGUUUAUGGGGUGCGACUCCACGGCUGAGCUUGGGGAAAACAUGUGGCCACAGCUUCCUUAUGUCUAAACUGAGGAUAACGAUAGAUUUCACCCUCUAGGAUAAAUAGGGUGGUUAUUAGCCAUGCACACAGUAAGUGCACAGUACGUUAACUGUUGUUAUUUUUGCGUCUAUUGAUUUACUCGGUAUUUUGGUGCUCACUUAUGUAUUUUCAACUACAGACUCAUAAAAUAUAAAUUAACGUUAGCUGCUUGCA